rnacentral:rRNA from 1 species
UGCUAAUACCGCAUACGAUCUCAGGAUGAAAGCAGGGGACCGCAAGGCCUUGCGCUCACGGAGCGGCCGAUGGCAGAUUAGGUAGUUGGUGGGAUAAAAGCUUACCAAGCCGACGAUCUGUAGCUGGUCUGAGAGGACGACCAGCCACACUGGGACUGAGACACGGCCCAGACUCCUACGGGAGGCAGCAGUGGGGAAUUUUGGACAAUGGGCGCAAGCCUGAUCCAGCCAUGCCGCGUGCAGGAUGAAGGCCUUCGGGCUGUAAACUGCUUUUGUACGGAACGAAAAGACUCCUUCUAAUAAAGGGGGUCCAUGACGGUACCGUAAGAAUAAGCACCGGCUAACUACGUGCCAGCAGCCGCGGUAAUA